UCCGGUUCAUCACCGGCAGUCUCCUUAGAGUCCCCAACUUAAUGCUGGCAACUAAGGACAAGGGUUGCGCUCGUUACGGGACUUAACCCAACAUCUCACAACACGAGCUGACGACAGCCAUGCAGCACCUGUCUCUGCGCUCCUUUCGGCACACCAGCCUCUCAGCCGGCUUCGCAGGAUGUCAAGAGUAGGUAAGGUUCUUCGCGUUGCAUCGAAUUAAACCACAUGCUCCACCGCUUGUGCGGGCCCCCGUCAAUUCCUUUGAGUUUCAACCUUGCGGCCGUACUUCCCAGGCGGAAGACUUAUCGCGUUAGCUUCGAUACUGAAGGGUUCCCCCUACAACAUCUAGUCCUCAUCGUUUACAGCGUGGACUAC
rnacentral:misc_RNA from 1 species